GCAGGACUCGGCGGGCAAGGCAGGCAGGGAGGGCAGGGCAGGGCACUGAGAGCAGCGGCGGGCUCUGUCCCUGCGCUGCAUCCCGUGCCUGGGUCACCAUCGGUGACAGGGAGGAAGGACAUUGCUCUGUCUUGCCUGGGGAAAGGAUGAAAAGGGGGCAUUAGAAAACAUUCAUUUGGUCUCCUUUUCAGCAGACUGGCUCUUUUUAUCUCACCAGGUCUGCCUGUCUUUGGCAGAGUUGGCACAUUUCUCAUGAUUUGGAGUCAGCUACAGCAGCAGGAAGGGGCAGCAAUUUUGUCUGCAUUGUCAUCCAAGCUAAAGUGCUGGCCCAUGGGUGGAUGUUGCUUUACCCAAGGAAUACAGAUAAACACGAAUAGAUUCUAGACAAAACAAGGGAUUCAGGGUACUUGCGGUUCAGUUGUUUUGGUUUAACUAUCAGCUUGUCUACAGGAACAAAUCAGCUGUGAAUACUAAAAGUUCUUAGCAGAGACUUUUUUUCUGGGCCUGUGCAAUGCUCUAAAUUUAUUUUUGUCCCCUACCACAAUAUUUCCUGUAAGUUGACCAGACUGCAUCACAGAAACUCCAGGCAGAAAAUUGAUGAACAUCAAAAAUCCAUGGCUAAAGCCUCUCCCUCAGCUCUGGAGCCACCACACAAGCUGUUGAUACAGCCUUUUGUAAGGAAGGGGCAUGGUACCACCACAGUGAUGUUUCCAUAACCAAGGUGCAGAUGUGAGAUGAAUGGCCAAGAUGAAGGCCAAGAUGAAGGAGUGCCUCAAGAGUAAAGUAAACUGCAAAUCACCAGGAAAAGAAAGAAAAAAUACCCAGGAGAAAGAAUAAACCAGAAGAGAAGAAAACAACCAGUAUCUUUCUCACCAAAGCUCCUGGAGAAUCUCCUUGUUAAAACCAAGCAAACACCUUUCAGCAAGGCUAGUGUGCUAGACAGCAUCACCAGCCACUGGGGAAAUUGGAAGGCACCUUCAAUCUUCUGGAUAUUCCAUAUUUGGGAAUAUCUACUGCAACAGAAACUGGCCAAAAGCAGCAAUUUUAUGGCAGGUAUUCAGACCUCACCAUACGCUACCAAAUACACCUGGUCCAGGGAAUAAUCCUUUUUGUCACACAUAAUUGUAUUGUGGAGUUACAGGAAAUUGGUUGGACAGAGAAUUUCUACCCAGCUCCCAGCUCUGUCUCCUAUGAUGCUUCAAAUCAGGUUUAAUUAUUCCUUUUUUUUUUUUUUUUCCUGGCAGGAUGUUGUGAUGGUUUUAUGCCAAAAGGUUUGAAGAAAACUCACUUUUAAUGCAGCAUUUAUGGCAUGGCUUUUAGAUAUUUUACUGUUUACUUGAAACAAUAUUUGGACAUUUUGUUAUCCACUUUGGAAAACUAUUUUAUAUACAUUUCACAGUACAUCCAUCUUAAGGAAUGUCUUAAAGAAAUUACUGUAACUUAAGGAGCCAACAAACAAUAGAUAUAAAAAUGAUGUGUGCAUAAAUAAGACAAUGGAGAGCUUAGAAAAUAAUUCCAUCAGUCUAUAUCAUCUUUUUCCAGACUAAUGUUUUAAAAGAGCAGCACCUUUUUCUUUGUGACAAGGCUUUUCUCCGUGCCUAAUAAGAUUCUUCUAUGUCCUAGGAGUAACCCAUGCAAUUUGAAGAAACAGGUGAAAGACAAAAAGAUAAUAUAAUGAAAGUCAUAGACUGACAGGGAAAGAAAGAGUCUGUAAAGCAAAGUUGUCAUAUCACCAUAAUUUCUGUCACUGAUCUAAUACAGAACAUGUUUCUUCAAAAUAUUCACCACAUUUUCAGUACAUGAGCCAAUCCUUCUUUCUUAGGAAAUGUGUUUAUUGCUUGUGUAGUUACUAAGAUUCAAGCACACACUUCAGAUGCUUUCCUAAGUGAGAUUACAGUAGGAAACAGUAGAUUCUAGAGAUCUUGUUUCAAGUGUUUCCACUUCUAAUUAUACCUCCACUCCCUCUCUUAAGAAACCAUUAUUAUUCAGUAAUAAAUUCCUCCAGAGAUUUCUUGGAGGGUUUUUUAAGGAUAAAUGCUAUAGAAGGGCAGAUGUGUGCCAUGUCAGCUGGCUGUAAAAGCAUUGCUGCCAGGAACUGAAGUUUAGAACAAGAACUGCAUCCUCACAUAUCACAGGAGAAGACAACGUUUUUGGUAUCUGGGCAAGUUCAUUUUAAAACUGAGGAAGCUGUUUAUGUAAAAAGCACUAAAAUACUAUAAGUGACCACAAAACACACUUUCUCAAAUUAAACAUUCUGAGCUAGCUUCAGAUUUAAACAAAAUUUCCAACUAUUGCUCUAUGGAAUAUGACAAACUCAGUGGUGCUGACCACUUCCAGUCACCUAAGUGGUGUGGGAAAAACAGAAGGGAUCAGGAUUUCUUUUUCCAGGUGUCACCCCACACCCUAACUUUGCAAACUCUUCAAACUUUUUAAAAUAGAAAUGAUAAUGUGUCUUAUCUAUCUCCUUCUCAUUCUGCAGCUAAACCAGUUUGAUGAUCUUACAUGUUUUGGCUCUUUUCUCCUUGCUUGCAGUGUGGAAGAAUGGGGAUAUGUGGCUUCUUUGGGGCAUGGAAAGAGCUGACAGAAAUGUUUCCUCUCCAGCUUGACAUUAUCCCUAGGAAUAUUCUGUUCCACAUCACCUGAGGGACAAGCUGAGUGUCUCUGAGCCCCCAGGGUUUCUGUCUCCUAUCAAGCACUGAGAGCACAGCUGAAAUUCUGGAGCACAGGCAGCCCCAGACACCCCCACACUGCAGUUUGAGUGCUGCUGCACUUUCCUUGGGCAGGAUUUGGUACCACAAGAGUGCAGAGUCUGGAAGAGAGACCUGAAGUGCUCACAGCAGGCUGCAUUGCUUAACAGCCACUCACAUGCCACGAGCCACUGUCUUGUGUUUCCAGUUAGCUGAAAUUACAAUUCCUGUGCCUGGAACACAAAGGUCUUCAGCACAAGGACAGCAGAACAAUCUCACCAUGUUCUGGUGGGCUUUCCACAAACCACUUGGCAGUAGCUUUAUUCCUUCCUGUGCAAAUGUUCAGGUUAACCUCAGCAAGCAUGAGCUUUGAAUACCUGCUCUGGGAGUCCAUACUACCCAUGGAGAAAAGGAUUUCUAGUUAAAAUUGCACUGUGGGCAGGACACACUCGAUUCCUCUCCCUCUGUGCAUGGGCUAGAGGAGAUGUGGUUUGAACACUUCCAAUUCUGGAAACUUACUUAGGGUCCUCAGUCAGAAAUCAUAAAGCCAGUCCUGAAUGCUGCUAUUGACAAUAAAAUAAAAUAAAAUAAAAUAAAAUAAAAUAAAAUAAAAAAAAAUAAAAUAAAAUAAAAUAAAAUAAAAUAAAAAUCAGGCUGCAUGUACGUGCUGAAACGAAAGUUUGCAGUUCUGUCCAGUGACAGAGAACCAUGAGAACUCUUCUAUCAGUUGCAUUUGGACAAAGCAGAGGAACACUCCUUCCUAGUGAUAGAGAAGACAUUUGUAGCCUCCAUCUGCUGCUGAACACACCAGCCAGGCUUUCAGCCUUUUGCUCUCUGUAGGGAGCUGGUACAAGUCAGUCACCUUGGACUGAGACAGAUCAAAGGUCUCCAAGUCUGGAAUCCUUUCCAGCACCCCUCAGGGACCAGCACUGAGCCAGCCAGGAGUUAACACACAGUGCUUCCAGCAUGUUUGCCAUUCCAGGAAUCCCUUUUCUUUUGCAUGAACACCCAUAAACAUCCACACCUGUAGAGUCUGGCUCUGACAUACCCAUUCAGCACUCUGCCUCGUGUUUCCCCAGCCUCUCCCUCAGCUUUUGUGGGCAAAGCACCCUGUGCACCCAGGCGUUCUGCAGAGCCACACUCUGAGCCUGCUGAGCCUGUCAAAACAACUCUGUUGUUGUGGUAGCCAAGAAUAUAGGGUUUUUUCUCCACUGGGAAAGUCUCAGACACACGAGGUGGUUUCUGAGUUUUAAAUUGUACUGGACACAGGAGGUUUUACAGAGGGUCACCCACUACUGAUUAAAGAGAACAGCUUGCCUUCUGUGCUAUAAUUCAAUCCAUUGUUCCUGUACCUCCACUUGCUAGGCCUGUUAUUACCUUUUUCCCAACCCUUUUCUACAACAUCCUUCUCUCUACAGAUCUAAUUCAACUACUUUUGCUAAUGCCAUUAUAUGAUUUUCUUCUGAAUAGGGAAAAUGUUUUGAUUAAAAACCUUGACAUUAUGUUCAGGAUAAUCUACCAACCAGUUUCUCAGAUGACAGCUGAUAGAAGGCAGCAUGUAUCUAAAGAGUUUACAAUCAUAUCCCUGUGUUAUCUUAAUUAAUGCAGUAAGACCUGUGCAUAGAAUUCACUCUCUUCAUAAUAUAUUGACAGCUGACCUCAUUCCUCCAUGGCAUUUUUAAAAUGCAUUUAUUGUGCUGCAGUGUGAAAACUUAUAGAGAAACCCUCUAUUACAGAGGAAAUUCACAUAUUGUAAUAUUUACUUAUAAUAAUUAGUCUCAAGGUGUUCUGAAAGAUACAACCAAAGGAAUAGAAUGAGAGUCCAUGAAGACAACAAUUGAGUGUGCUGCAAAACAUAUGCUUGUGGUAUUUAUCAUGCUUUUCAUGCAUGAAAGGGAAAUAAAGGCCUUCUACAUCAA